rnacentral:rRNA from 1 species
GUGAUAAUUGAAUUUAACGGCCGCGGUAGCAUGACCGUGCUAAGGUAGCAUAAUCAUUUGUCCUUUAAUUGAGGACUGGUAUAAACGGCUGCACAAGAAAUUGUCUGUCUCUACUAUAAAAUUUGAAAUUCACAUUUAAGUGAAAAGGCUUAAAUGGAAUAGGGGGACGAUAAGACCCUAUAAAUCUUUACAAUUAGGGCUUUAGUUAUUAGAAAGUAGUUAUGGAUCUAAAUCUAAGGUUUAAAUUGUUUUGUUGGGGCGACAGAAGUAUAAUAAGUAACUGCUUUGGUUUUCAUAUAUUAAUUGUUUUUAUUAUGGUUAGUUUAAAAGAUCCUCUUUUGGAGAUCACAGACUAAGUUACUUUAGGGAUAACAGCGUAAUCUUUCUUGAGAGUUCAUAUCGAAAGAAGGGUUUGCGACCUCGAUGUUGAAUUAAAGAACCUCUAUGGUGUAGCCGC